UAAGUUUCUUAAAAAGAUAAUAGUUCUUCAUUGGUUUUUUAAGAAGAUUACAAAGUGAAAUUUAUGAAACAAUCGCAUCUUUUUAGUUUUUAGUUAUGGUGGGCCGCCAAUUUACUGUGAAGUUAAUAAGUCAAGAAUAAAUUUUGGACUUUAGGUCACUAUCUAUCACUAUAAUUGCAGAUUCAACGUGCCGACACAUUUUUACUGUGAAAUAGUGCAUUGUUUUGUGGAAAAAUAUUCACGCGCCCGCGAAAUACUGAAGAAUUCAAGAGGAAUAUUACCAAAACAAGCAUUCAGUCAACCAGAAAAGCCGUCAAUUUCAUCUACAGCAACGUGAGCAACAACAUCUACACCAGUAGUUCCAAAAUCUGCAGCACAAUACGUCAUUUAAUAUGUGGAUGAAUCUGAUGUGGCAGCAACGGUUCCACAGCAAAACACUGAUGUAAAUCAGAUGGAAAAUUAUCUAAAAUUGAUUUUAGACAGUCAAAUUAAUAACCCACAAACAAUAAAUGCUCUAAUGGACAGCCAAAAAAAAUGUUUCAUAAAUUGGCAAGUCUACUGUGCAGAUAGAAUACGAAUUUUCCAAGUGUGACAAUACCAAAAACACAGAUGUGGUUGCAUUGGGUAAAACCAGCAAUCCAAUCGAAAAUGAAGCUUUUGUCAUAAAACCAAUUGAUUCAGUUAAUUAUGUAACUGUUUUUCUUGUGUAUCUAGUAAAUAAGUAACUCUUUGAUUAUUUUUAGUUACUUAAGAUAUCCACUGAUGGAUAUUUCUAUUAUGUUUGAAGUGCCAUUGAAAACCCGUAUAGACUGGUUUUUCAAUGAAUAAAAAUACAUUUUCUCAA